AUUGAACGCUGGCGGCAUGCCUAACACAUGCAAGUCGAACGCGUGGCGGACGGGUGAGUAAUGUCUGGGAAACUUCCCGAUGGAGGGGGAUAACUACUGGAAACGGUAGCUAAUACCGCCUACCAUCGGAUGUGCCCAGAUGGGAUUAGCUAGUAGGUGGGGUAACGGCUCACCUAGGCGACGAUCCCUAGCUGUUUUGAGAGGAUGACCAGCCAAACUGGAACUGUGACACGGUCCAUACUCCUACGGGAGGCAGAAGUGGGGAAUAUGGCACAAUGGGGGCAAGCCUGAUGCAGCCAGGCCGCGUGUAUGAAGAGGGCCUUCGGGUUGGAAAGUACUUUAAGCGAGGAGGCGUUACUCGCAGAAGAAGCAUCGGCUAACUCCGUGCCAGCAGCCGCGGUAAUAC
rnacentral:rRNA from 1 species